AUUAUCUCGGGCUACAUGGGCGAACAGCGUUGGGGUUGCAUCAAACAAAGGAGUCCCGACAUUGUUAGGGUGUGUGCUCCUACCAUUAGGUGAAUUAGUACAAUCAGCCUGUUUGUCUGUUGUUCCCACCGGAGGAAACUCGGCAUUCAACUCGUUUAAUGACUGCGUGAUGCUAUCAACAGCUGCAAUCGUAAAAAAAGAAAAGAUGAUGUAAGUAAAAAUGGAUAGUUCAGAAAAACAACACGAUGAAGUUCAUAUAUAAAAUACAACCUGACUUGGUGGAAAAAAUAAGGUAUAUAUUACACUGUUAGAAAUGACAGAAAGAGACACACAGGACUAGCACAGUAAAAUGCCUUGAUACAGGUUCAAAUCAAACAAAAAUGUGAAGUUAACGGCAUAAGGGGCACAUCGAACACAUGUGAAGUUCGCAAAGCAAACAUAGACGGCAGGGAGGUUCACAUUUAAAUCCUUGAGCAGUUCACAUGACAGUAAUUUUGCAAACCCAACUUUAAAAAAUGAACAGGCAACCUAAUAUGAAGUUCACAUGACAACAUAGACAGCAGGAAGUUCACCUUACAGCAAACAAAAAAGUUCACAUCUAAUCCUGAUGAAAGUUCACAUAUCAGCACAUGAGGUAAAUUAAAAAAAACAAGCCAUUGCAGAUGCCAGAGCUUCGCUCAUACAACAUAUACAGCAUGUGAAGUUAACAGCAUAAGCAGCACAUCUAACACAUCUGAAGUUCACAAAGCGACAUAGGCAGCAGGAGGUUCACACUUAAUCCUUAAAGCAGUUCACAAGCAGGUAAAAUUGCAAUCCAGCUUUAUAAAUGCCUAUAUGAAGUUCACAUGACAACAUGGACAUCAUGAAGUUCACAUUUCAGUAACAGAGAAGUUCACAUCUAAUCCUUAUGAAAGUUCACAUAUCAGCACAUGGGAUAAAUUAAAAAACAAGCAAUUGCAGAUGCCAGAGCUUCACUCAUACAACAUAUACAGCAUGUGAAGUUAACAGCAUAAGGAGCACAUCUAACACAUCUGAAGUUCGCAAAGCAACAUAGCCAGCAGGAGGUUCACACUUAAUCCUUAAAGCAGUGCACAAGCAAAUAAAAUUGCAACCCAGCUUUAUAAAUGCCUAUAUGAAGUUCACAGGACAACAUGGACAGCAGGAAGUUCACAUUUCAGUAACAGGAAGUUCAUAGUUGACACAUAUGGAAGUUCGCAUAUCAGUGCAACGGCUAAAUCUCAGAACCAACAAAAUACAGAAGGAGGUUCACAUUUAGCACACAUGAAGUUCACAUGCGAGUAAAAAUAUUAGUAAAUCAUAUACACCUACCUGAUUCUAAUGCAAGCAACACUUUGUACAAAUCUACAACAUCAAGCACUCAAACAAAAAAUAAAUAUGAAACAUCUAUUUACAACAAUGUGGUGACAUUGAAAACCCUAAAAUCAUAAGCACAUAAGCAACCAAAAAAACAAGCACAACCUAAAAAUCGCGCGCAUUCACAGUAAGAGGUGGGCAAGGGAGGGGUGCGAGAGGGAGCAUACCAUCGAAUAAGUUCGGAGAACCACUAUCCAUUGACGGCGAUAAAACAAUGUUUCUAAUAAUCCAAUGUUUCAUGGAAUGAUAAAACACAUGG
rnacentral:lncRNA from 1 species